rnacentral:rRNA from 1 species
UACGAGGGGGAGCUAGCGUUGUUCGGAAUUACUGGGCGUAAAGGGCGUGUAGGCGGUACCAUAAGUCAGAUGUGAAAGCCCUGGGCUUAACCUAGGAUGUGCAUUUGAUACUGUGGAACUAGAGAUCGAGAGAGGAAAGUGGAAUUACGAGUGUAGAGGUGAAAUUCGUAGAUAUUCGUAAGAACACCAGUGGCGAAGGCGACUUUCUGGCUCGAUACUGACGCUAAGGCGCGAAAGCGUGGGGGAGCAAACAGG